UGAUGGAAGAAGAACAUUUUUCUUUAAUCUCAGAGCUUUUACAGUGUAAUCUGGAGAACAUGUUAUUUUACAAUCUGAUACUGAAUUCUUGGGACUAUGUUGUAGAGUGUGACAAAUAACCUUCAAUUUCACCUCAUGAGGACUUUGAAGAGAAAAACCUCUUAAUCAAUACACAAAACAACCUUCAAUAUCUUUCAAAUUCAAACACUACAAAUGUCAUGAAACAUUUCAGUUAAAAUAGCAUAUGCAGAAAUUGUCUUCUUUUAGGUCAUUUAAAACAAAUUAUAAAGGAUAUUUUACCCAAAAAGCCCCAUCCACCUAGUUGCCUUUUUCUAACCAGUUUAAUUGGGCAAACAUGUGUUAUGUUAAUAGUAGAGGCAAACAAAGACCAACUCCUUAUUUAAACAUUAUAAUAAGACUAACAAAGUCAUAUUAACAUGCAUGUCACAGCCCCCUUUUCUGCUGUAUAUAAAGACAGAUUUCAGUUGCAGAUUUUGGAGUAACGGAUCAUCCAGACUUAACUUCGAAACAGUGAGUGUGCAUGCCAACAUUAUUGGGAUUGUUUGUGAUUCUGUUCUAUGUAUAUGUACAUGUCAUUCUGUUAUAUUUAUUUACUUCAUUUACUUGGUUUGUUGGACAGUCCAUGAUGAAGAAGGCCGUGCUUUUGUGUUUUGUCCUGUUUGCGGUCAUUUCUGUGACCACCGCUGCUCAAUGCCUGCAACAGCAAGCAGGUUUCCUGAAUUGUUAUGAUAGGAUUGAUUUUAAAACGUACGGUGUUGGACAGGCCUGGGUGAACAGCAGAUGUCAGUUUUGCACAUGUAUGCCUGCAGCUAUGAGAUGCUGUAUGGGAAAACGAGAUGCAGCUGGAAAGUGCAAACUUGAAUAGCAGCACCGCUGGAAAAGAAAUCCAUAUAUUUACAAUGACGGAUUUGAGUCUCCAUGUUGUUCAACUGUGAUUAAUCAAAUGAUGAGACUCAUUUUAUACAAUGUCAUGAAACAAAUAUGAUUGACAAUAAAGCAACAAUGCAUUAUGCAAAUUA